UACGGAAGGCAGCAGUGGGGAAUAUUGCACAAUGGGCGCAAGCCUGAUGCAGCCAUGCCGCGUGUAUGAAGAAGGCCUUCGGGUCGUAAAGUACUUUCAGUCGUGAGGAAGGUGUUAAGGUUAAUAACCUUAGCAAUUGACGUUAGCGACAGAAGAAGCACCGGCUAACUCCGUGCCAGCAGCCGCGGUAAUACGGAGGGUGCGAGCGUUAAUCGGAAUUACUGGGCGUAAAGGGCACGCAGGCGGUUAAUUAAGUUGGAUGUGAAAUCCCCGGGCUUAACCUGGGAAUGGCAUUCAAGACUGGUUAGCUAGAGUCUUGUAGAGGGGGUUAGAAUUCCAUGUGUAGCGGUGAAAUGCGUAGAGAUGUGGAGGAAUACCGGUGGCGAAGGCGGCCCCUGGACAAAGGACUGACGCUCAUGUGCGAAAGCGUGGGGAGCAAACAGGAUUAGAUACC
rnacentral:rRNA from 1 species